rnacentral:piRNA from 1 species
AGGCAAGCUCUCCUCUUGCAGGGAAGG